UGAGAAGCUUCCGGAACUCUUGUUCUGGCAAAUUUUGGACUGAAGCCUUCGGGCUUCAUUUUUUUUGUUUCACUUUUCGUUUCCUUCACCCGCCGCUCCCCCGGCGCUCGCGGCUCAGCUCCCUCCCUUUCCCGCCGUACGCCGCCGCGGGAACCCCCACCGUGCGCAGCCACCAUGCUGAGCGGAGAGCUCCACGUACACCAUACCCCGUCCGAUCUGCCAAGUGAAGCUGCUGCGUGCCGAGUUGGCGCGCCGUGGCCAGCGGGGGCCCGGGACCCUAAAAGGGUUUUGCGCGCCCCCUCAGCUUGGCUUGGCCGCUCCCGCUUCCUUCCUUCCUCGCACAACACCCGUCGAGCGGUUCCCCCAUGCAAAUCGACCGGGAGACAGCGAGCUGGAUGGAGAAGGCUUUUAACUAACGCUAUUAUUGUUACAGUUUCUGUACUUUAUUG
rnacentral:misc_RNA from 1 species